rnacentral:lncRNA from 1 species
CCGCAGCGGGGAAGCGGUUCGCGUGUGCAACUCCGUGUCGGCUCGGGCUGCGGGCUGCGAGCGCUCUGCGGCGCACACGAAUAUUUUUAGAUAACAGCACGAAUAAUUUAUUUGCAAGGUAGUGAUCGCGCGCACUUUUGCGGAUAUCGGUAUCGGCGCAUGCGGGUUCGUGUGCGCUGCGCAAAGCGGUGGACGGCGGCGGGUGUCGGCUGCGCCCGCCGCCCGCCGGCGGAGACGUCCCGAUAGGUGCGUGAGGCGAUAGAGUUGCUGCAAGCUGCGCGGGCGCACUCCUCAUCCCUGGAGUGCCGGUUGACACUGGAUGGAUGAACUGGAUGAACUCCCCUACUAGCCAGAUGGAUGACAAUUAGCGGAGGAGAGAAGUAUUGUAGUGCGCGCUGUGCGCCUGAGUCAGCAUGAUGUCAUAGCAGCGGUGAUGCGGCUAAUGGGAGCGUCCCGCCGACGACGUCACAUCCCAUUCCCGCCGCAUACUUCACCCAAUCGAGCGAUGACAAAUCCAUUCAUAUUCUUCCAUUGCCGUUAACUGUUGUGUUAAACAUUGAAUUCUUGCAAUUCCGAAGCAAUUAAAGUCCAUAUAACGAAACGGCACAUGACGCUCGUUGCUAACUGACUGCGGUUUUCCUCUCCUCAUCGAAUUUACGCUUUAGGUAAGUAACAUGGACAUUAUUCAGGUAUUUUUCCUACAGAUAAUAUGUUCCUAGAUCAUAAUGUGAAUAGUUUCGCCCGGGAGUGAAUGCAGAUUCAUGCAAAACUGGAAGAAAGAAGAAAAGGAAUAACGAAACUGGUUUUCAUAAUGAUUUGACAGAUUGUUCAAUAUUCUGAGAUCAUUGUGAAAGCUGAUUUUGUUCCUAGUUCAACAGUAGCGGUUGUCAACCAACGAGAAAAAUAAUUAACAGGAAGAAUAUUUUGUCAUUUUAAUGUAUAGUUGUGUAUGCGUGUAUAUUUAAAUGUAUGUUAUGUAUUCAAUUCAGUUUUUGUUAAAAAUGGAAGACUUUGGCGUGUAAAUUAAGUGAUUUAUUUGGCAAUUAUAUUUGUUAUUUCUGGUUGCAUGAGCCCUGAAAUAUCAUCAUGGGAUUGUGAUCAUGUAAAAUGUCUCUGAUACAUUUUUAAUGAGGAUGAAUUCUUUUUUUUAUGCAACAGUGUGUUUUAUUGCGUAAAUUUUAUACAAACCUAAUGUCUAUAAAUAUGUUAUUUGACACAAAGUACCUAUUAUAGAUUGUAAGCACAACCUAAGCCUUAUAUAUUUUAUUUGUAAACUAAAAAUUAUCAAGGUCUGUUUUGAAAGAUAUGCUAGGCGCAGGAGAAAUGAACUAUUGUGAAGAUUUUUGGAAAGCUUAGGCCGUCAAUACACGGACCGCUUGAAGCAGUCAGGGGCGACAACUUCAAGCUGUUCACCGCCCCUAUCAGUUGCAACUGCUCAAGCGGUUCGUGUAUGUACGACCAUAGAACUCUGCAGUUCACUGUGCAGUCACAGCUUGAAGCUGUCGCCCCUGACUGCUUUAAGCGGUCCGUGUAUUGCCGGCCUUACGUAUUAUGUGUAAUAUGUAAUAAUUUUCACGUAGUCUGCUGUUGGCAAAAUCUAAAAUUCUGUAAUAAGAAAAAAAUUGAAUGUUAAGUAUCAUUAUUUUGCACCCUUUCUUUGGACGGAUCUAGCAUUAACUUGCUUUUACAUUCACAUUACCAACUACAUCAUACUAUCCACUAAUUUUAUAAAUACUCACAUAUUUUCUACUUAAUUGCUAAUGUCAAAAAUAUGGGAAAAGCUUGGUGCCUCUGCAAUGUAACUAAUGCAAAUUAAUUAAAAAUAAAUGCUACUCAAGAA